GACGAACGCUGGCGGCGUGCUUAACACAUGCAAGUCGAACGGUAAGGCCCUUCGGGGUACACGAGUGGCGAACGGGUGAGUAACACGUGGGUGAUCUGCCCUGCACUUCGGGAUAAGCCUGGGAAACUGGGUCUAAUACCGGAUAGGACUCCUGGCUUCAUGGUUGGGGGUGGAAAGCUUUUGCGGUGUGGGAUGGGCCCGCGGCCUAUCAGCUUGUUGGUGGGGUAAUGGCCUACCAAGGCGACGACGGGUAGCCGGCCUGAGAGGGUGACCGGUCACACUGGGACUGAGGUACGGCCCAGACUCCUACGGGAGGCAGCAGUGGGGAAUAUUGCACAAUGGGCGCAAGCCUGGUGCAGCGAGGCCGCGUGAGGGAUGACGGCCUCCGGGUUGUAAACCUCUUUCAGCUAUGACGAAGCGCAAGUGACGGUAGUAGCAGAAGAAGGACCGGCCAACUACGUGCCAGCCGCCGCGGUAAUAC
rnacentral:rRNA from 1 species